rnacentral:rRNA from 1 species
AAUAGAUACCCUGGUAGUCCACCCCGUAAACGUUGGGAACUAGUUGUGGGGUCCUUUCCACGGAUUCCGUGACGCAGCUAACGCAUUAAGUUCCCCGCCUGGGGAGUACGGCCGCAAGGCUAAAACUCAAAGGAAUUGACGGGGACCCGCACAAGCGGCGGAGCAUGCGGAUUAAUUCGAUGCAACGCGAAGAACCUUACCAAGGCUUGACAUACGCCAGAACACCCUAGAAAUAGGGGACUCUUUGGACACUGGUGAACAGGUGGUGCAUGGUUGUCGUCAGCUCGUGUCGUGAGAUGUUGGGUUAAGUCCCGCAACGAGCGCAACCCUCGUUCUAUGUUGCCAGCACGUAAUGGUGGGAACUCAUGGGAUACUGCCGGGGUCAACUCGGAGGAAGGUGGGGAUGACGUCAAAUCAUCAUGCCCCUUAUGUCUUGGGCUUCACGCAUGCUACAAUGGCCGGUACAAAGGGCUGCAAUACCGUGAGGUGGAGCGAAUCCCAAAAAGCCGGUCCCAGUUCGGAUUGAGGUCUGCAACUCGA